UACGUAGGGUGCAAGCGUUAAUCGGAAUUACUGGGCGUAAAGCGUACGCAGGCGGCUUGAUAAGACAGGUGUGAAAUCCCCGGGCUUAACCUGGGAACUGCAUUUGUGACUGUCAGGCUAGAGUUUGUCAGAGGGGGGUGGAAUUCCACGUGUAGCAGUGAAAUGCGUAGAGAUGUGGAGGAACACCGAUGGCGAAGGCAGCCCCCUGGGGUGAAACUGACGCUCAUGUACGAAAGCGUGGGGAGCAAACAGG
rnacentral:rRNA from 1 species